rnacentral:rRNA from 1 species
GACGAACGCUGGCGGCGCGCUUAACACAUGCAAGUCGAGCGAGAACCUAGGCCUUCGGCCUGGGGGACAGCGGCGAACGGGUGAGUAACACGUGGGUAAUCUGCCCCCGACAUCGGGAUAGCCCGGGGAAACCCGGAUUAAUACCGAAUAGCCCAUCCGCUUUUCGGAGCGGCUGGAAAAGGUAGCUUUGGCCUCCGGUCGAGGAGGAGCCCGCGGCGGAUUAGCUUGUUGGUGAGGUAACGGCCCACCAAGGCGACGAUCCGUAGCUGGUCUGAGAGGACGAUCAGCCACACUGGGACUGAGACACGGCCCAGACUCCUACGGGAGGCAGCAGUGGGGAAUCUUGCGCAAUGGGCGAAAGCCUGACGCAGCGACGCCGCGUGCGGGAAGAAGGCCUUCGGGUUGUAAACCGCUUUCAGGAGGGACGAAGCCACUCAGGUUAAUAGCCGAGAGGGUGACGGUACCUCCAGAAGAAGCCCCGGCUAACUACGUGCCAGCAGCCGCGGUAAUACGUAGGGGGCAAGCGUUGUCCGGAUUUAUGGGGCGUAAAGAGCGUGUAGGCGGCCAGAUAAGUCUGC